CAUAACGUCGCAAGACCAAAGAGGGGGACCUUCGGGCCUCUUGCCAUCGGAUGUGCCCAGAUGGGAUUAGCUAGUAGGUGGGGUAACGGCUCACCUAGGCGACGAUCCCUAGCUGGUCUGAGAGGAUGACCAGCCACACUGGAACUGAGACACGGUCCAGACUCCUACGGGAGGCAGCAGUGGGGAAUAUUGCACAAUGGGCGCAAGCCUGAUGCAGCCAUG
rnacentral:rRNA from 1 species